AAGAAAGGAAAUCGCAGCCAUACGGGCUGUGCUCCCCCAGCUGAACUGUCUCUGCAUUUUAGCGGUGGGAGAAAAGACGCUAUAUGGUGAUGUGCUCCUCCCUCCACCCUGCCAACCUCAUCUGUCAGCCAUUAGUUAAUCAGGGCUGGUAAAACAGAGCACAGGAGAGAGCUGGCACAGCUCGUGGGACCAGAGGACAGCUUCACCUCUGAGAGCAAGAAGAGGGCAAGGACUCAGGGACCUCUGCUUCACCAAUCUACAGCUGGGCUGCUUCACUCACCAGCACCCACUCAGGACUGGCAGGCGUCAACCUCAAGAUGACCCCACCCACUGCUUUACUGUGAACAGAUUUAAAUUGAAGCCAUGACAAGAACCGUGCUUGUGAGGACCAGGGGGACCUUCCAGCCACCGCUUCUAUUGCUCACACUGGGCUGGCAUAUGUGCAGGAUCAGGAAACACAAGCCCAAUAAUGUCCCAAACAUCUGACCCCAGGGUGACAGGUUUGGAGACUGUUCUCGCCCACUGCCCUCAGGCCAAAGUCAAGUAUGUCAAUGAUGUGCAUGUGGAUUUCAUUUUAAGCAACAUGAUUAGUUCACAGACGCUCAAUUGCCAUCCCCCCUCCAUGGGAACCCCACUCUUGACAGGAAACGGUAUGUUUUUGUUAGGAACAAACAGGCAUAAAUUACUAAAAUGGUUCCUUGGUUGCCAAUUUAUCACACACAGCCUUAUUGUUUCUGCCUGCACACACUGACUUUGACAUUGCUUUUAAGGUAAUUACCAUUAGUUAAUGAUAUUUACAUUCCUAAUAGUUUAUGUUGAACUGUGUCUGCAAUCAUAAAUUUGUGCAAUAAAUGUGAUGAUUGUGUUGUGUCUUUUCUUCUAUAUAUGACAAAUAUGUUUUGAUGACCUGUAUUUGGAAAAUAAAUAUCGCUUUUGGUAAUCAUUAAUUAAUUUUGAAGCUGUCACUGCAAGAUUAGAAAUGAUUAUAGGUCUAAGGUGAAUGGAGGCCGAUUAUUUUGUAGAAACAAACUAAAGCAGCAAAUGAAAUGACAUUUGAAAAAUAGUUUUGGACAUAAUUGUCCUUCUGUUAUAUAAUGCCAGCAUAAAAGAUUACUCGUUGAUCAAAUUUUUAUCAGAAAGCAGUGCAGAUUUGUAAAUAAUGUCAAGAGGGUAGUAUACCAUCAUUAAUAAAAGCCAUUUCCCUGUCAGAAAGUUCUAGAUAGUAAUGGCUUGGCUAAAAUGUAAUGGUAUCUGUGGAAUAAUAAGUGUAUUAACUACUUCCCCAAGAAGGGGAUAUAUUUAUUUAUAUUAUAUAAGUAUAUAUUUGAUAUAUUGAAAAAACUACCAGGAUUUUUUUGUAGAGCUACUGCUACAAACUAAUGUGACCAAUAUUUAGCAUAGAAUACUUUGGGGAUGCUACCAACGGAAGAGGCCAUUAAAUAAGGUAAGACGCACUCUGAAGCCAUGAGAAAUAUGUUGACAAUGUUACGUAAUACAAGAACCCCUUAACCAUUUUAUUACCCUUUGUCCUCUAAAAGACCAUGAGCAAGUUUUGCCAUUUCACUGAGACAAUGUUUAAUGUUUGGUUCUAUGAAAUUAUUAAAAUGUUUUAAAAAAAUGGUGUGACAGCUUCUUGUAAUAAAUGAUAAAAGGCACAUGUAUAAAGGUAAUUUGAUAACCAAUGUUACCCUUUGAUUUAAGUCUAAAGAUUUUAGUUGUAUCACAUGCAUGCUUCACUGUUGCCUUAUAUAGAGCCAUAUUAAAUAUAUGCUUCACUGCAGUUGGUUAAUUAGAGGUUUCCUACAAUAGAAUGUACUGAUAUUGUCUAUUAUGAAUUGCAUGAAGCCUAUGGUAAACUAUGUACUUGAAUAACUACAUAAUUUGAAUACACUGUCAGAUAAUACUUCUCAUACAGGUGCUUUAAAAAGCUAUUUCAAUGUGUGUUUCCUUUUAAAGAAUGACCUCAAAACAAUAUCAAAUACAUAAUUCAAUCAGCAGUUUUAAAUAUUGGCUUUCCGUGGCUUUCUUUUGGAUCUCCUCAACUAAACAAACCUUGCCAGAAUGCAUUAAUAUCAAUUAUUGUUGUAGCAAAAGUAAUACUCUGUAGGUCUCCUGCCAAAUGCAUUACAGAGAGCUCCAUUAAUGCAAUGGUAAACAGAUGUGCCACCCAGCACCAAAGAUUUGAUUUGGACUGUGUAUAUUUUCUCCAGGAACAUUACAAAAUAAAUUGUUAAAAAAAACAUAAAAGGAAAAGGCCUGCAGGGUUUUUACACUACAUUAUGCAGAGGCAUGUAUUAAAUAAGGAUUACUGAAAAAAGCUUAUAAAGAAUGAAGUCAAAUGAAGGUCAAAUACCACGAAAUCACCUACAAGUCAAGUCUUUUCUAUGAACCAUUCAUAGUACCUCUGCUACACAUUAUAUACUGCUGGUUGUAUUGCAUGUCCAUGGUAUAGCAAAGCCUGUACGUGUCUAAAAAGGGUUUUAAACUACUAUAUAUGAUAGAAUAACUACUGUGUCAACAACUGUUAAAGCAAUAAACUAUAUUCCAAGUGUUA